rnacentral:rRNA from 1 species
CAGCAGCCGCGGGAAUACGAGGGGAGCUAGCGUUGUUCGGAAUUACUGGGCGUAAAGCGCGCGUAGGCGGCUUUUUAAGUCAGAGGUGAAAGCCCGGGGCUCAACCCCGGAAUUGCCUUUGAAACUGGAAAGCUAGAAUCUUGGAGAGGUCAGUGGAAUUCCGAGUGUAGAGGUGAAAUUCGUAGAUAUUCGGAAGAACACCAGUGGCGAAGGCGACUGACUGGACAAGUAUUGACGCUGAGGUGCGAAAGCGUGGGGAGCAAACAGGAUUAGAUACCCCUGUAGUCCCUGUCUCUUAUAC